rnacentral:rRNA from 1 species
UGUUGGUGGGGUAACGGCUCACCAAGGCGACGAUCCCUAGCUGGUCUGAGAGGAUGACCAGCCACACUGGAACUGAGACACGGUCCAGACUCCUACGGGAGGCAGCAGUGGGGAAUAUUGCACAAUGGGCGCAAGCCUGAUGCAGCCAUGCCGCGUGUAUGAAGAAGGCCUUCGGGUUGUAAAGUACUUUCAGCGGGGAGGAAGGGAGUAAAGUUAAUACCUUUGCUCAUUGACGUUACCCGCAGGAGAAGCACCGGCUAACUCCGUGCCAGCAGCCGCGGUAAUACGGAGGGUGCAAGCGUUAAUCGGAAUUACUGGGCGUAAAGCGCACGCAGGCGGUUUGUUAAGUCAGAUGUGAAAUCCCCGGGCUCAACCUGGGAACCGCAUCUGAUACUGGCAAGCUUGAGUCUCGUAGAGGGGGGUAGAAUUCCAGGUGUAGCGGUGAAAUGCGUAGAGAUCUGGAGGAAUACCGGUGGCGAAGGCGGCCCCCUGGACGAAGACUGACGCUCAGGUGCGAAAGCGUGGGGAGCAAACAGGAUUAGAUACCCUGGUAGUCCGCGCCGUAAACGAUGUCGACUUGGAGGUUGUGCCCUUGAGGCGUGGCUUCCGGAGCUAACGCGCUAAGUCGACCGCCUGGGGAGUACGGCCGCAAGGUUAAAACUCAAAUGAAUUGACGGGGGCCCGCACAAGCGGUGGAGCAUGUGGUUUAAUUCGAUGCAACGCGAAGAACCUUACCUGGUCUUGACAUCCACGGAAGUUUUCAGAGAUGAGAAUGUGCCUUCGGGAACCGUGAGACAGGUGCUGCAUGGCUGUCGUCAGCUCGUGUUGUGAAAUGUUGGGUUAAGUCCCGCAACGAGCGCAACCCUUAUCCUUUGUUGCCAGCGGUCCGGCCUGGAACUCAAAGGAGACUGCCAGUGAUAAACUGGAGGAAGGUGGGGAUGACGUCAA